CUACGGGGCGCAGCAGUCAAGAAUAUUCCGCAAUGGACGAAAGUCUGACGGAGCGACGCCGCGUGCAGGAAGAAUGCCUUCGGGUUGUAAACUGCUUUUAUAAGGGAAGAACUCGUGACGGUACCUUAUGAAUAAGAGGUUGCUAACUCUGUGCCAGCAGCAGCGGUAAUACAGAGACCUCAAACGUUGUCCGGAUUCAUUGGGCGUAAAGCGUCCGCAGGUGGUACGGUAAGUCAGUGCUCAAAUCUUCGUGCUUAACAUGGAGACUGGUGCUGAUACUGCCAUACUUGAGGCUGGAAGAGGCAAGCGGAACUAUCGGUGUAGUCGUAAUAAGCGCUGAUAUCGAUAGGAACACCAAAGGCGAAGGCAGCUUGCUAGUACAUGCCUGACACUCAUGGACGAAAGCGUGGGGAGCGAAGGGGAUUAGAUACCCUCGUAGUC
rnacentral:rRNA from 1 species